rnacentral:SRP_RNA from 1 species
GUACCUGACCCGCGCCGCGGGCCAGAUCGUCGCCAGCCAGCC